CAGAAGUAACAAUAUCUCUGUUUGGUGUACGGCACAUUUUUCUCAUUUGGUGCAAGGCUUUUCUAACCAUGGCAAACUGUGAGUGUGGGGGUGAUGCACACAAACUGAUAAAUCACAUUGGGUAUGGUGUGAACAAUGGGUGCCUCGAGUACUUUGCACAGCACAACACAAAAGUGGUUAUAAGACGUAAAACAUGCAGUAAGUCACUUGUACGUUUAUUAAAGAUAGAUGACUGUAUCGCUUGAAAUACAUUUUUGUUACAGAAUGGAAUGACAAAUUAAUGACCAAAAUAACUCUAUCUGAAUUUACUCACUUGUUAGGCUGGUACGUACUUAUAGAAAUUCAGUGGUGUCAAACGGCAUAAAACCAGAUGCUGGAUCUUUGCUUUCUGAUAAUGGACUAGCUUGCAGCAAUUUCCUGUGAACGUAAAAAAUGUAAUGAAAACUAACCCUCUGUGACAUCAUAUGGCAAGUUGUUCAUGUUGCCAUGGAUUUACAUCACAACAAACAUACCAACAUGAAACAGAUAGACAUUAAUAUAUAUUUAACAUAUAAUAGGCCUAUUAAUUUUUAUAAAUAUACACGCAUAUUGGCCUAAAUGGAGCCAGCUAGUAACUGAACUCCAAACCAUGAUCUUUCAUCAUCUAUUUUAACUUUAAAUGUAGAGCCAGGCGCGAUAUUCACGAGGCUUCUGUGAUGGUGCAUUAUUUUGUUAAAUCCUACUAAACUUGCUUAUGAAUGACAUGUUAAUAAAUUAAACGUAUAUUUAUGCAUGUAAUGUACGUUUAAAAAAUAAAAAUAAAUAAACGCGGUGAUAGCUAGUUAAAUAGGUACUCCUGCGGGUUUUGAGCUAAAUAUACUAUUAUUAGCCUAUGCCUACUCACCAAGCGGGCGUCACCUUAGUUUUAUUCAAGAUUUCAAAGUUUCGGACUACAAACAGCAGCUGGACGGAUCUCUAUUCUCUAAGUUUUCCCCCAACUUUCUGAGUAGUUCACUUAGCUUGAUUGCAUUGGGUUCGUUGUUUUCAGUCAAAUGAAUCGGGAAAGUCUGAGAUCGUUUUUUGAAAUGUAAAACCAUUGUUCCGUACCGUUCUAAUGUUGCCAUGGAUAUGCAAAGGCUAUAUAGGGGAUUCUCACGGCAAAACAGAACAAUUAAAAAUCGCCGAACGCAAUCUGGGAAAUAUUAGCAGGGCUUGCUUAAAUUACGGAUACGGUUUAUUAAAAAUCACAUAGAAUUGCAGCUGCUUUUUUGGCAGCUGAAGAAUAAAAAUAAAAUAAAAUUUACGCGGACAAACACAACGGAUAGUUUCUAUUUUCGUUUUAAUUUACCUUUAGUCUUUUUUUGUUGUUGAUUACGUGUCAUUAUGCACUACUCCAUGCGUGGUUUGCUUUUGUGUCUUUUGUAGUGUUUUUAAUUUCAAAAGAAAUUUUAUUAUUAUUAUUAUUAUUAUUAUUAUUAUUAUUAUAAUAAAAAUAUGUUUGUAAUCAAUAAAAGGCAAAUGUACGAGCCUUGUGUAUUCUCACAGUCUCCCACAGGAGGGCGCUAAAACAGCUACAGUCACCACUUCUUAAAUCUCCCGUUAGUAUCGCCUGCACCGAAGGUGAUUAGCCUAGCCUUCCAGCUAGUUGUAUGAGCUUUAAUGGGGUGAUAAUUUGUGUAUACAUUGUAUUCUCACAGUCUCCCACAGGAGGGCGCUAAAACAGAUACAUUCACCACUUCUUAAAUUUCCCGUUAGUAUCGCCUGCACCGAAGGUGAUUAGCCUAGCCUUCCAGCUGCUUGUAUGAGCUUUAAUGGGUGGGCCAUUUGCGUAUAUAUUGUAUUCUCACAGUCUCCCACAGGAGGGCGCUAAUAGAUUUACAGGCACCCCUUCUUGUAUUAAUAGUGUAUUCUGACAAUCUCCCACAGGAGGGCGCUAAUAGUGUUACAGUUUGUAGUCCUAAAAUCCGGAAGUUCGCUUUUUUGAGCCAUGGGGUUCCCUCGUCAGAUAUGCAAUUUUCUAAGCCUGAGGGCUCCACGUUUUGUUGUACGAUAUAAAUUAAACACAUUAAUAUCACCAUCGUGGAUUUAGAAGCUGUUAUGUGCUUUUAAAAAGUAAGUUGCUAACUAGUUGCUAUAUUGAAACUACAACAAUGGUCGCUUUCUGGCAACCGCCAAUCAAGUUUCCAUACUUGCCCGCCACCUGCACGUGACAACCGUUGUAGUUUCAACAUGGCAACUUGUUAGCGACUUACUUUUUAAAGCACAUAACCGCUUCUAAAUUUACGGUGGAAGGGUGUAAUUUAUUUCAUAGAACAAAACGUGAAACUCUCUUCGACAUACGUUAACCACAUGCCUUAUUUUCGACAGAAAACGAAGAAACAAGAAACAAAACCAGGAAACCCAUGACUCAAAAAAGCAAACCUACUUCCGUAUUUUAGGACUACAAACCAUAGAGCGUAUAGACGAGUGCAGUGCUACAAACUUCAAACUAUAAUUCUAUUAGCGCCCUCCUGUGGGAGAUUGUCAGAAUGCACUGUUAAAAUAAUCGAAGAAGUGGUGCCUGCAAAUCUAUCUGCGCCCUCUUGUGGGAGAUUAUGAGAAUACACUAUACACGAUAAAUAUGUUCGAAAAUACCACUGGGCUGUUAGUUCACUUGGCGAAACUGGUGAAAAUUUGAUGACAAAGAGGACCUGGGAAUAUGCCCACACUAAGAGGCAGGAGGAAAGGGAGGAGGCGCAGGAGGGAGCUGAAGAGAAGGAUAAGGAGCAGAAGGAGAGACAGGAGGGGCGAGAACUGAGGAGGAAACGGGGAGCAGGGAGAGCCGGUGAAGAGACAGGGUUGUAGUUUUGUGUUUUUGUUCGUUGUCCAUUUCCUCUUGCUUGCAGGAUUCUCUGCCGGUGGUGAUUGCUUUGAACAUGCGGAGCCUUGGGGGUUGGCAGUGGGGGGUGCAGGCCGUCCUGUCGUACCUGAAGAACGUGAAAGGUGGAAAUUUUGUUUCUGCAGGAGCUCCACAAAAUCAGCAGGGCAGGAGGGAUUUGUUGCACAAGAUUUCCCCACACCUGUUGGGGAGGGUGCCUUGUUUGUUUGGUGGGUGAUUUUAUUUGUGUGUUGGAAAUAGGAAUAGGGUGUUGGUAAGGGAGCUGGGGAAGAUUUCAAUUUUGAUAAGACUUCUGUGCUUUUAAAGAAUAUGAUGAAAGAUUUUAAUUUUAAUUUUAGAUACAGAAAUCAGAAAUCUUCUACAGAAACAUACAGAAAUAUUUCUUUUGUGCAGGGUAGUGUUCUGGUUUUUUCCAGCGCAUGGGCUGACAUUGGGUUAUGUGGUGGAAGUUUUGAAAGCGGUGACCCAUUUGGACCUGCUGCAUCGGCACAGACCUGGCGUGGUUCCUGGCCCGGUUCCUGGCCCAUGAUGUGCUGCCGGUGAGUGGUCCUGCAAGCCCGGAGGUUCAGGGACAUCAUUCUGCCCCCCAAGACACCUGCAGUGAGAGAGUCGGCCUGGCACUGUCUGUGGGACGGUCUCAGCGCACUGGAGGUCGGCCCAGCCACUAGUUCAGCUGGUAGCUGGAGGGAGAGCCAUGGACUGUUAUAUGAUGCUCUACGAUGGUGCCCGGCAAAGUGUGGGAACCUCUCAGCAGGGGGGCUUGGUGGCUCCUGGUGAACUCGUGCCAGGAAGCUCUCUGGGUGGCGGAAGGAAAGGGGCUGCCUCCAGACGCUGCGUGGCAGAUGGCGGAUGGCGGAUGGCGGAUGGCGAAGGUGUUGGACUACAUGGGGUGGGACCGCAGAAAGUGGGGGGCUGAGACUGCUAAAGCACAAAUGGGGGGGAACUGGCGUGGACAAUGAUGGGCCUGGACUUUGAAAACAUUUCAGAAUAAAACUGGGUUCUUUUUGUGUUGAUGAAGUGGUGAAGAGUGGAGUUUGUUAUUUAAGGACACGCACUGAUUUGUACAAAAAAGUUGUUUUUAUUGUGCGGUUUUAUUGUUUUUAUUAUUGGUCAUGGUUGGGGGUUAUUGUAUGGUGUGAUUUAAACAUGAUUUUAGUUUCUGUAUAUUUUGGGGGGUUUCAUUUGGGAUGUCCUUUUGAAUUGAUAUUUAUGUGUUUGAGAUUGGGGGGGGAUCAUAUUGUGAUUGCAGUUUUCAUUUAUAGAAAGGAUAUUUUGUUUUUGGUAUUAUGUAUUGGUAGCUAAGUUAUGCAUUUGAUUUGAUUUUAUGCCUUUUAAUUGUAUUUAUUUGGUUACACUUAUUGUCAGUCCAACCAUGAAUUAAUUGAAAAUGUAAUUGUAAUACAAAUUGUACAGAUUUAAUGUUAAUAUUUUCAAAAACCAAAACGAAAAUUGUGCAAGAAGAGCUUUCGGAGUAUAUGCAAAGAUUAUAAGCAGUAUUACUUGGUUAUUGCAAAAGAUACGUUCCUUGUUCAAGACUGACUUCAUUACGGCAAUAAUUGCAAAAUGACGAAUGUUCAUCUAUUCCGAAAGUUUUUUUUAUUUGGGUCUGAGCAUUGAGUGCAGUGCCUUGUGUUCAUAGUACAAUGGAGUUAUGGUUAGUUUCGGAAACUCCUUUGGAAUGAUGUGUGUGUAGACCGUUUUAGUUACAGAGCUGUAAUAUCAACCUUUCAAUGUUAGAAAUGCUAACAAAACCUGAAAAUCUUAUGUAGAGCAUGUCUAUACCUUCUAAGGAAUAAUGUUAAUCUCAGGUAAAUUUCACUCGAAUUAGUUCCCUCGUUGCAAAGGAUCCACGUGAAGAAUGCAAACUUACCAUUUGCGCUAAGAAAUUGUUUUAAAA